CUACGGUGGCAGCAGUGGGGAAUAUUGGACAAUGGGGGAAACCCUGAUCCAGCAAUGCCGCGUGUGUGAAGAAGGCCUGCGGGUUGUAAAGCACUUUCGGUUGGGAGGACUGCUUCUAGCACUAAUAUUGUUGGAAGUUGACGUUACCUUCAGAAGAAGCACCGGCUAACUCCGUGCCAGCAGCCGCGGUAAUACGGAGGGUGCAGGCGUUAAUCGGAAUUACUGGGCGUAAAGCGCGCGUAGGCGGCUAGAUCAGUCGGGUGUGAAAGCCCCGGGCUUAACCUGGGAACUGCAUCCGAUACUGUCUAGCUUGAGUACAGGAGAGGAGAGUGGAAUUCCACAUGUAGCGGUGAUAUGCGUAGAUAUGUGGAGGAACACCAAUGGCGAAGGCAGCUCUCUGGCCUGAUACUGACGCUGAGGUGCGAAAGCGUGGGGAGCAAACAGGAUUAGAUACCCGUGUAGUC
rnacentral:rRNA from 1 species